CACGCCGUAAACGAUGAGUGCUAGGUGUUAGGGGGUUUCCGCCCCUUAGUGCUGAAGUUAACGCAUUAAGCACUCCGCCUGGGGAGUACGGCCGCAAGGCUGAAACUCAAAGGAAUUGACGGGGGCCCGCACAAGCGGUGGAGCAUGUGGUUUAAUUCGAAGCAACGCGAAGAACCUUACCAGGUCUUGACAUCCUCUGCUACCUCUAGAGAUAGAGGGUUCCCUUCGGGGACAGAGUGACAGGUGG
rnacentral:rRNA from 1 species